rnacentral:misc_RNA from 1 species
UCGUACAACCGAGGUGCGGAGGGCUGUCGCUGACUUUUGUCGUGCACGCCCGAAGUGCUCUCACACAAUAUCCAUCUCACCCAUUUGUGCAUCAUCGCGUGGGUCCUGCUUUUUGGGCUUGUUCCAAGGAGGGGGGCUCGCGUUUUCACACAAAACACCCUUUUAAUGCAGUGUAGAAUGUUCUUGCGAUGACUCGCAAUAAAUA